rnacentral:misc_RNA from 1 species
GUGAAUCAUCGAAUUUUUGAACGCAAAUUGCACUCUCCUCUGAGAGUAUGCCUGUUUGAGGGUCAGCCUAUAAAAAUCGACAUCGUUUCGGUUUCGCGGUGGGGGUCGUCGGAAAUUGGGUCAUCUUAAAUCCUUUUGAUUUACGCUACUUAAAAGUUUGUUGUGGUUCCAUGAACGUUGCUAAA